UGUAUAUGCAUUUAUCUUUUUUUUUUCAUGGCUCCGAAAUCCGUACUAACCCCUAUUUUCUCUUUUGUUCUUUUUCCAGUUUUCUGUGGUGGCGAUCUGCACCAACACCACCUGAUCAAAGCAUCAUGCACUCCCUGCAUCGAUGGAUUGAAGGCCAGAUGUCCACAUGACCAUCAUCAUCUAAUUUUUCCACGUGAAGCCUGAAAACCAUGAGGACUGAUUGAGAUCAUUGAUGUUAGGUAGAAUGCCCAGAGGGGACUGGGUGGUCUCGUGGCCUGGAACCCCUACAGAUUUUAUUUUUUUCUCCAGCUUUCUGGAUUUUUUUUUUUUGUUUUUUCUGUCCUCCCUGGCCAUCGGACCUUACUCCUUUUCUAUGUUAACUAACGUUGUCUUAUUUUAAUUUCUUAUUUUGUCUUUUAUUUUUCUUUUCUUCAUUAUGUAAAGCACUUUGAGCUACUUUUUGUAUGAAAAUGUGCUAUAUAAAUAAAUGUUGUU